AAUAAAUAUGAAAAAAUGCUGCUAAGUAUGCUUGUCUUAGUUAGGAUUUUACUGCUGUGGGCAGACACUAUGACCAAGGCAAAUCCUAUAAAGGACAACAUUUAAUUGGGGCUGGCUUACGGGUUCAGAGAUUCAGCCCCAAGAUGGGAGCGUGGCAGCAUCUAGGCAGGCACGGUGCAGGCAGAGCUGAGAGUUCUAUGUCUUCAUCUGAAGACUUCUAACAGAAUAGUGGCUUCCAGGCAGCUAGGGUGAGGCUCUUAAAGCCCACACCCACAGUGAGACAUCUACUCCAACAACGCCAUACCUCCCAAUAGUGCCACUCCCAAGGCCAAGCCAUCACAAUGCUGAAGUAUACUCUCCACACUGAAGGCUUUUGGCAGGGGUACAGGAGGGGAAAGGCUCAGUUUUCUUUAAGGGGCUAACCACUGGGAGCUUGAGUGUGCUCCAGUGAGUAUAUGGGCAAUACAAGUUGGACAUGGUGUUUUUUUUCUUUCUUUCUUCCUUCCUUCCUUCCUUCCUUCCUUCCUUUCUUUCUUUCUUUCUUUCUUUCUUUCUUUCUUUCUUUCUUUCUUUCUUUCUUUCUAUUCUGUUUGUUUUGGAAGAGGUCACAAGGGUGGUGGGUGAACCUGGAAGGACUGGAAAGGGAGUGUGAUUAGAGUACAUGAUGUGAAAUUCCCACAUAAUCAAUAAAAAUAUUGUGCUUGAAAGAAAAAAUAAUCAGAACCUGUCCAGUUACAAGUUGAGGUAGUUAGUUGCAGGGCAGAAAAAGGGAGCAGGAUGUGAGGAUGAAAGAAAAAUGUGCAGUGAGUUUGGCUGUUGCUAGGAGUGACUAGUGAGCAAUGAGAUAACGAAUGUCAGAUAAUUGGUAAGCAUCUCAGAUGGCCAGCCCACAGGAAGCAAGGGUGACAGGGAAGUAGGAAGACAGCCUGGGGUACUGUUCACUGUGGUUGGUUUCAGGAAACUGCUACCACUCAACCAUAAUGGAGACACUUUUCAAACUGUGUGGCAUGCCUAAUGACAAACUCCAUAUAGAGACAUUGAUGGGUGGGAGUGAAAUGGUUGCAGGUCAACAAAUGCCAAAAACUAGUCACCAGCAGAACUAAGAAAGUGGUGUAGAGGGACUCAACCCAAGAUUUCCCUGGACUCAGAUUUCUAACCUACAAUAGAUGGUUGUUCUGAGCCAACCAGUUGGUGGUUCUUUAUUGCAACAGCUCUGGGAACCAGAUUGAACCUCAGUGUCCAUAGUUGGUCAGCCCAUUAUGGAUGUGAGUCUUACAUCCUAGCCCAAGAUGCUGCUGCUUGAGAUUAGCAACCCCUGACUUGCAGCCAGUUAUUCUCUGACCAAGAUAUAGCUAUGAAAUGUUGGGUUAGCUGGUGUAUUAUGUAUGUAGUUAUUGCUCCCUAGAUGUGGGGGUUAAUCUUCAUUGUCAGUUUGAAUGGAUUUAGAGUCGUGUGAAACACACAUUUGUAGACAUGUUAGUGCAGAAGUUCUCAGGUUUUACUGAGAAUAGAAGUCCGACCCUAAAAGUGGAUGCCAUUAUUUAUGGUAUUGGGCCCUAGACUGAGUGAGGAGAUAAUACUGGAACACCAGUGUCUAGUUACUUUUCUAUUGCUGUGACAAAGCACUAUGACCAAGGCAACUUAAAAAGUAUCUAAUUGGGCUUACAGAUCCAGAGGAUUAGGAUCUAAUUGUAUCAGGAACAGCUGGGAGCUCACAUCUCAAAGGGCAACCAGGAAGCAGAGGCUACACUCAGAAUGACAUGAAAUUUUGAAACCCCAAACCUGCCCUCAAUGGCAUCCUCCAUCAAAACCAUACUCCCUAAUUCUUCCCAAAUAGUUCACCCAAUGAGGGACCAGGACUGAAACAUGUGAGUCUAUGGGGACCAUUCUCAUUCAGGCCACCACAAGCAGUAUUCAUCUGUCUCAGCUUUCUGAUUGUGGAUGUCAUGUGACCAGCCACCUCACUCUUCUGCCAUCAUGCCUUUGCCCCGCCAUUCGCUGCGUCCUUUCAAACCAGAAGGUAAAAUGAUCCCUCUGGUCCUACAUUGCCUUUCAUCAAAUGGGUGGUUACAGCCACAAAAAGAGUCAUUAUUCACUGGACUAUGAGGGAUCAUCUCAAAGUUCAGUUUGGCAUAUCCUACAGGAAAGCACUGCUUGAGCCUUCUAACCAGAUAUUCCUUCACCCAGUCCCUCUAUUCCAUGCGUCCCUUCCCUGUUUGGCACCACCUUGGCUUCCCUUACUUUCCUCCUAUAUUCCUCCUCAGAGCUCUACUGCACUUUGAGUUUCAAACAUUAGCUCUGUGAUGUCGCCUUUUCAGAUCCCACAUGUAUAGUCAUCAUCUGUGUCACACAUGCCUGAUUGUACUUUGCUGCUGUGAUGCCGUGUCAUUUUUGCACGUGUAAUGCUUAUUGUUUAAUCAUUUCCUUCACCUCCACAGCCUAUAAGCACCACAAGACCAAAGAUGCCAUCUGCCUUACCUAACGUAUUGUCUGAAUCUAUUGUCUGAACCUAGUAACUACUGGGCAAAUCUCCUUUGACAAAUGAUGCUUUCCCUAUGCUACAUUCAUGUCCAGAUAGGGAGAGGAGCCCCUAUGUUCUUAUAUAGCUCCGGACAUCAUAAGGACCCACUAUAAGCACACAUUGCUGGGAGCAACAGAGCAGUGAGAAGGGAAGGGUUUUCAGAAGUGAGUGGUUAGAGGUCCUUCAAAGGAGGAGUGACCGGAACUGAGUGGACAGAUUGUGGUAGGAGGCCUGGCCAAAGCCCAAUGUGCAGAAGCACACAAGUAAAAAUUGAAGGCAAUUUGAUUUUCCCAUGCUGCUGCUGCUGUAAGGGAAUUGAGAAGGACAAGUGCAAAGAUGGGGUUGGGAAAGAAGCUAGAACAGAGGCAAAGUCUGAGUUCCUGAGCUGUGUGCCUUGGAUGGCAAUAUUCUUCCUGGAGACUCCAAGGGGAAGGGCCGAACUGGCAGGGGUCAUUGGACUAACUAAAAAGUUGAUGAAUAGGACACCAGCAUUCAGCUCUCUACCAAUGUAAUAUGCACGUAAGGCCAUGUUUUCCUUUCCAAGGUAGAUCAUGUGCUCUCAAACUGAGUCAAACCCUCCCUGUUUUAGUUGCUUUUUAUCAUGUGUGGACCCACACAGAGUCACUUAGUUGGAGGUCAUCCUUGGGAACAGCAGGCAGAAUCCCACUUCCUUCAAACCCUGUCACCCCAGCCAUACCAGUUAGAACCCUUGUUAGAAAAGUGUCAGAAGCAUCUCAAGCCAGGUUAGUCCAUGAGGGAGAUUUGAUUUCCUGUAAUGGACUGAAUGCGUGAGCCUGGAGAGGUCUGGGAGAAAGAUGGAACGAGGGUCUCUUCACUCUUCCUCUGUCCUUCAUUCCAUCUCUCCCAAGAGUGCUGUCAGUUGAUGGGGAGGUAGGAUAGGCCAUGGUCAGAGGUAGAAGGGACAAGGAUGUUCUAGAAACCAGGGUGCUUCCAGUCUCAUAGCCUCUCAACAAUGUAAGAGAGAGCAAGAAGGGCUCCGCAGCUUCAGUGUAUUUGUGUAGUCAGAAGAUUUUUCCUGGGAAAGAUCUGAGUAGAGAGCCCUGCAGCAGCUCCAACCACAGGCUACAGCACUGUUAUCUUCAUGUAAAGAGAAAGGGAGCAACCCAUGGAAUAGGUAGGGAAUGGGCAGGUAGGAAGACACCUUCCAUUCUUUAGAGACCCCCAGUAUCUUUCCUGCUUCUCUGAGGCAGCCCCUUGAAGUGAGAGCUAAUGUGACAAAUUGGUGGUAAGGUGGGCACCCAGCAUAAAAUGAAAAUGCUUAUCAGAGAAACAAUACUAAAAGUAAAAUAAAUUAGACUUCGCACCGACAUCGUAAUUUUAGAAAUUAAUUAACAAUAAAAAGAAGAUGCAUCUCAAAGGAAGGGAAAAGUCUAAUUUCGACAGACAGUAAUUAAUUCCUCUGUUCAGGGAUUCAUUAACACGCCUAAAGCACAAAUUGCUCUUUUGCUGGCCCUGUAAUCCCCUAGGGACUCAUCUAAUAUAUUUUUGGUAUCUGAAUGCCCCUGGCCAGGAAGAUAUAUCUGAGGACCAGGGAACAGGACUUACUAUUGACUGUACCACUUGGAUGUUUUGUUCCUUGGCAGUAUGGCUGUGGGCAUCCUGCCCCUACACAUUAUCUAGGUAAGGCCCUGGCCCUUGGAUCAGAACACCUACUACUCCGAUGGUCUCUGUCUGGGUACUGAGAGGUUCACCCUUGCCUUCAAUGGCUCACAGUCAGAUGGGAAAGGCAGUCCUACUUUCAAUGCACUCACCCAACACUACUGUGGCUAAGAAAAGGCACAACCUAGGUUACAGAGAGGAGCCGAGUCCUGAGGGAAGUCUGAGAACCAUGAGGCAUUGUUUGAGGAAGAAGCUGAGCUGCCAAGUGCCCAGCUGGAGGCUGGACUUUAUCCUCAGGCCAGAAGACUCAACAAAGACAAAGGCACAGUGUGGCUGAUAUCUUAAGAACGGCACUGCAGCAUCUUGGAAUCCCACACUGGUUUUCAUUUUACACAUAGUCCCCUCCUUCCUGCCAACAGAAGUUAUUUGUUGAUUUUUCUUCGUUUUACUAAACAUAGUUUAACAUAAAAACCUAAAAAUUAUUCAUAGUGGUUGGGUACCAGUUGAUGCUUUUGAUACGUGUAUACUGUAUCCCAUUUAAAUCAGAUUAAAUAUGUCCUUCUUCUCAGACAUCUAUCUAGUCUUCAUAGUGAAUUCUUCCAAGCCCUUUCCUUUCUCUUUAUGAAAUGUGCAGUAUAAAACAACUCCCUACUUCAUAGCAACCACAGAGUGGUCUACUCCUGUCAAUCCAUAGCUGAGUCCAAGUGAUUAGUCAAAUAUCCCUGGUCCCACCAAGUCUCCAAUCCGAAUGUAUUUCUUUUUAAGUGAGCAUCUUUCCUGGGAAUCAAUCCUAGAUGUAGAGAAAGUUUCAGACAGGGGAUGAAGGGCUUUGGUUUGAUCCAUCUGACAAUAGCAUCCUCCAGAAUCCUUUCAUAUCACUGGUUUGAAUAGCUUACCCCUGCCUGUCAUCAGUAGCAGUUACCCUCCACCACAGAACUUUCUUUCUGAUGCCAAUGGUUCAAUGCAACAUCUGCUAUCUCCAAGGCUCAGUGUAUUUGGUUGCUCAUGCUUGAUGAGUUCAUGUGUGAGCAGUGCGGAGAGGUGGGGUGCCUGGGGAGGCAGGAGGCAAGAGAGGGAGAUAAGGGGUAAGAUAGAGGGGGUAGAAAAAGAAAGAGAAAUAGAGGGAAAGAGAGAGUUCCUGAAACCUAGUUUCAGAAGAGAUGUUCUGUGUCUGCCACCAUAUUUUCACAUGAGAAGGGAUACUUUGUGUUCCUCUCAGAGGUGGUUGUCACAAUCAAGAAAUUCACACUUACCCCAUCAUAUGACCCUUAUACCCACCCAUGUUUCCCCAAAUGUCCCAUUAAUGUCCUUCUUAGAAAAAGGAUCAAGGAUCAGGAUCACUAGCGUUAUCUUUUUCUAAAUUUUUAUGUGUAUAUGCAUGUGUGUGUGUGUGUGUGUGUGUGUGUGUGUGUCUGUGUGUGUUAUAUCUGUGUGUGCAAGACCUUUCUGUCGCAGUCAGAAGACAAGUUUUGCUGUCAGUACUCACCUUCUCCUUGUUUGAGACAGGGUCUCCUUCACUGUGGUGUAUGCCUGGCUAACUGGGCAGAGUUUCUAGAGACCCUCCUCUCUUUACCUCCCAUCUCAUCAUCUUUUUUUAAAAACUUUUUUCAUUGAAUAUUUUGUGUUGACAUUUCAAAUGUUAUCCCCUUUCUCCCCUCUCCUAUCCUCCUCUCCCUGUUUCUAUGAAGAUGUUCCCACUCCCACCUACCCACUCCCACCUCAACACGGGAAAUGAGCCUUCACAGAGCCAAGGGCUUCUUCUCCUGAUGCUGUCAUCCUUAUUGAUGCCAGACAAUGUCAUCCUUUGCUACACAUGCAGUUGGAGCCAUGAGCCCCUCCAUGUGUUUGCUUUGGUUGGUGGUUUACACCUUGGGAGCUCUGGUGGGUCUGGUUGGUUGAUAUUGUUGUUCUUCCUAUGAGGUUGCAAACCCCUUCAGCUCCUUCAGUCCUUUCUCUAACUCCUCCAUUGGGGUCCCUGAUCUCAGUCCAAUGGUUAGCUGCAAGCAUCCUCAUCUGUAUCUGUAGGACUCUGGCAGAGCCUCUCAGGAGACAUCCAUAUCAGACUCCUGUCAGCAAGCAUUUCUUGGCAUCAGCGAUAGUGACUGGGUUUAGUAGCUGCAGAUGGAAUGGAUCCCCACGUGGGACAGUCUCUGGAUGGCCUUUUCUUCAGUCCAGGCUCCAUUCUUUGUCCCUGUGUUUCCUCCCACGGGCAUUUUGUUCCCCUUUCUAAGAAGGACUGAAGCAUCCACACUUUGGCCUUCCUUCUUUUUGAGCUUCAUAUGGUCUGUGAAUUGUUUCUUGGGUAUUCCAAACUUUUGGGCUAGUAUUCACUUAUCAGUGAAUGCAUACCAUGUGUGUACUUUUGUGACUGGGUUACCUCACUCAGGAUGAUAUUUUCUAGUUCCGUCUAUUUGCCUAAGAGGGAAAUGCAAAUCAAACAACUCUGAUAUUCCAUCUCACACCAGUCAGAAUGGCUAAGAUCAAAAACUCAGAUGACAGCAGAUGCUGGAGAAGAUGUGGAGAAAGAGGAACACUCCUCCAUUGUUGGUGGGAUUUGCAAACUGGUACAACCAUUCUGGAAAUCAUUGUGGAGGUUCCUCAGAAAAUUGGACAUGAUACUACCUGAGGACCCAACUAUGCCACUCCUGAACAUAUACCCAAAAGAUGCUCCAACAUAUAACAAGGACACAUGAUCCUCUAUGUUCAUAGCAGCCUUAUUUAUAAUAGCCAGAAAUUGGAAAGAACGCAGAUGUCCCUCAACAGAGGAAUGGACACAGAAAAUGUGGUAUAUUUACACAUGAAAUUCUUAGGCAAAUGGAUGGAACUAGAAAAUUCCAUAUCAUCAUAAGAAUGCUAAACUCACAGUUGCAUGUGACUGCUUUUAGCUUCACAUCUGAAGUUCAUAUCUGAUGUGAACUCCAGUCUUUAUACUUGCAUGGCAAGAGCUUUCCAUACACAGCUAUCUCCCCAGCCCUCACUCCCUUGUCUUUGGAGUCCUUGAGCCUGGACUUGUUUACCAGCCUUGUCUUCAGCAUUCAGAAUUUUGCCCCAUUUAUAUGUGCUUUCCAGCUAUCCAUUUGCUUUGUGAUUCGAUCUGGGCUAUGCCACCUGUGCAUUUCAGUAAUCUCUCAGGCUGCAUGGGUUUACCUAUGUUGCAUUAUAAAUAACAUUCACUUGGUUGCCUGAUCAUGUGCCAUCUGUAUGGCUCUAUGACUAUGGAGCCAUGUCUUAGCCUUAGUCAUUGCAUAUAAUUAUUUGGUGGGAGUGGUGCUGCUUUAGAAUGUUGUAAAUAUCCCAUUCUUCUUCAGACCCUCAGGCACUUCCAUUGUUUUUUGACAUGAGCAUACACUUGUAUUUCCUGAUUCACAUAGGGAUGUUGACCCAGUGCCAUCAGCAUGCCCAUUGAUAUUAUCUCUGUUCAGAGAAAGCCAGAAGGAGCCUCUGAGAGCUGGCUCCCUGGCUUCCUGCCUAGGACUUUCUAGCUUUGUAAACACUUUUGCUUCUACAUUCUCACAGAGCUCUCACACUCCAUGACUAUGGCUCUCACCAUCUGUUUCAAGACGUGGAGAGAUCCUUCACUUUCCUCUGUGGCCUCAAGCUGCCCCUUUGCCAGAUGUUUGCACCUGACACCCAGAGGGCCCUGGUGGGAAGACAAAAGAAGAGCUGCAAUGUAUUGCUCAGCUCACCCUGUACUCUCUGUGGCCUAGGAAAAGGGAUGCUUCCCUGUUCAGCACAGGGCUGGGUGAUUUGAGGUUAUCCAGAGUCUUGGAAGGACAUGACUAAGACCACAGACUAUGAUGCCAGAUAUAACCAUGGGAAGAUGGGACUUCAGUAUGACCUUCAGUAAGGACCAGAGACAAGAAAUAACUCCAUCUCUGGAAAUGGCAUUGCUUUUCUUGGGAAUGUACCAUGUAGAUGUAGUCAUCACUUGGACUAAGCCACAUGAAGCCCUGCAUAUAUUUAUCACUGUCAACCAAGAGAUCCACAAGGCAAACUCUAUCCAGUCAUCAAAAAUUCCUACUAAAUGGACAAAAGAAAAACCAUUGAAUGGUCAGCUAUGAAAAAUCAGGUUGCUGGCUGAAGUCGAUUCCAGCACCCUGGGGUGUGAUGCUGUCCAAAAAAGUAAUCUUAAAGAAUUUCUAGUGAACUGGAGAUAUGCUCACAAUAUACAGAACAAACAGGAUGCAAUACAAGACCUGGGUCAAGGGAUGUUUCGUGAAACAGUGGCAGAGUCCACCAAUAUGUUAGCAGGGCUUAAAUCUGGAUCGUAGGAUUGUCAGAGGCUUUUAUUCCCUUCCUUAUCUUUCUGUGUUCUUUUCAGUAAACAAUAUUACUUAUAUUGCUUACAAUAAAAAUAUUAUAAGAAACAGUAUUACUUUUAUAAUAAGAAAAAAGAAGCCCAUAAAAGUUUACAAAAGGAAUAAGGCACCAUGUAAUUUUUAGGUGACAUGGUUCCGUCUUCCACAGAGGCUUUUCUUACAAUAGCCAAAACCCAGACUGCUUGAUUCAGAGCCUGCUUCUCUCCAAACCCACUCUGUCUCUGUAUUAUACUAGUGGUAUUCCUAGAUGUACAGUAGAGUUAAUGAUGAGCUAACUGGCAGCUAAGGUGCCUGCUAAGAUGGGGGGGAUGGGUAAAGGAAACACUCACAAUUCUGGGGUGAUGAUUUAAGCUACCCCCAAACCAGGUAUGGGUGUUCUCUAAACAAUUUCAGGAAGAACCAUAGUAAUCCAUUCAAUUUCUGACAUCACCUCCAUGGGAAGCGUGCACUGGUGGGUGAUGAGUAGAAUUAAGAGUGCAGUGCGUAGCCAGAACACAGCUUCAGACUACUGACCAGGGAGUGAACUAAUCAUUAUAGGAAAAAAAUAUGGGCUGGAGAGAAAGAUGGUUCAGUGAUUAAGAGCCUUGACUAUUCUUCUGGAGGUCCUGAGUUCAAUUCCCAGCAACCACAUGGUAGCUCACAACCAUCUGUAAUGGGAUCUGAUGCCUUCUUUUGGUGUGUCUGAAGACAGCUACAUCUUGCAUAUAAAUAAAAUAAAUAAAUCUUAAAGUAAAAAUAUUGGAGUUAAUAUUAAGCUUAAAAGAAAAGAAAAGAAAAGGAAAGAAAAUGAAGUGGUACUUAUACUAGACAUGGCAUGGUCAUUGCACACAUGAAAUCACAGCAGGUAUAGUUACCUGCACCAAAGACUGGGACUGUGAACAUUCCAUCAUAAGCAAGGGAGGAAACAUGGGUGGCUAAUAGUUGCUGGGGAGAGGCAGUCAUUUUUUCCAGUUGUGUGACCAUUGCCUAUACUCUAGUCAACUCAUGGUAAUGUAAGCAAAUUUCAUUAAACUUGGUAAGACAUGCGCACAUGCGCGCACGCACACACACAAACACACACACACACACACACACACACACACACACAAAUUUGCACACAUAUACACCCACACAGCUUGAGGAGUGAAAAUAGGAGAGGACUUGUUUAGAAGAAUGAAGGCUUUCCUUUGAUUGUGGAGGAUCACAAGGGUAAGAAAGGGUAAUGAGGGUCUAUUAUAUUCACACGUGAAGCUGUCAAAGAAUAAAAGCAUGUGAAUAGUUUACCAAGAACCUUUUCAUCCAUCACUGCACCAUCUCAAUUCCCCAGGAUCAUGAUAUUAUCUCUAUUUGGGUAUCAAGAAAGCUAAGGUCAGAUGGGCUGAACAUUUUCUGUGUUGCACAGCUCUUAGAUGACAGAAUACAAACUUUAGUCUGACUGUACAAAUGUCAAGUUCAGGCCCUACCUUGUGAUCACUGACUCCACCCACGGGCAAUGUUUGAGUCACUGAAAUACAUCUAUGUCCCAGUCCUGCAAUGCAGAGUUGCCAUGCCAGCUGUUUUCAACUCCCUUCAAUGCUGUGAACUUUCAAGGAGGAGACCAAGCAUAUCUCACAUCAGUGUAGCCAGUGGUACAGAAGGCCUGGACACCCUAGGCUGGCUUUCUGUCUGUCUUGCUCCCCAAAAUGAAAAAAAAUCACCAGACAAUGUAAAACAUAGAGGGCAAUGUGAGCUUUUGCGCCACACAGACUGGGGUUGUCGACAGGGAUGUGGCCGUGCAGCUUCUGGAGAAUGGACUCAGAAAGCCCCAGUCUUUCUCUUGGAUUGACAUCCCUGACUGACUAUCAGUGUCUUCUGAACAUGAUUAAAUAAACAGUCCCAGGGUUAGACUAUGUCAAAUGAAGUUCCUGUGGCCCAUGGGGCAGGUUGCCCUACCUUCGUUACUUUUGUCCUAGAAAAGGGGUGCUAUGGCUUAGAUAUGAGAUAUCCUCCAUGGGCGUAUGUGCUGGAACAAAUGUACCCAGCUCAUGAUGCUGUUUUAGAAGGAUUUUGAGCCAUUUGUAUAUGGGGGCUACUUGGGUGUUCUAAAGCCAUAGAUAAGUAUGGGCUUUGGAGACUAUAGAAUGGCCCUUCUCUGGUCUAGUUCUUAGUUUCCUAGUCAAUGGCAUGUAAGAUAGCCACUGUUUUAUGUUUCUACUUUCAUGGCUGUGAGACCCAUUACCAUACUUUGGUGCCUUCCCUGUCAUGAUAGACUGUAUCUCCUGAGCAAAGCGCCACAAUAAACUACUCUUGCUUCAA